UACAGAGGUCCCAAGCGUUGUUCGGAUUCACUGGGCGUAAAGGGUGCGUAGGUGGCCAGGUAAGUUUGAUGUGAAAUCUCCGGGCUUAACCCGGAAAGUGCAUUGAAUACUAUCUGGCUAGAGGAUUGGAGGGGAGACUGGAAUACUUGGUGUAGCAGUGAAAUGCGUAGAUAUCAAGUGGAACACCAGUGGCGAAGGCGAGUCUCUGGACAUUUCCUGACGCUGAGGCACGAAAGCCAGGGGAGCAAACGGG
rnacentral:rRNA from 1 species